AAAGACUAAAAGAGGGGAGAGCCGCAGAGUACAGGCCGCAACAGUGAAGAGAACAGACCGCCCCCCCCCCCCCCCAGAUCAUCGUCUUCGAACCCCACAGCCCUGAAACGAACGACCCCUACCUCCUUCAACCAUCCCAAACGACCAGACCCACGCUCCAGCUACACCCCAACCCAAAAAGAGACACACACGAUCGGGCAAGAGAGAACGGAGUAACGGAAAACAAAGAACGAAACAGAAACGGCAAAAUGCAAAAAUCGAAAAUAUAUAUGUGCAUAUAUAAAAGAGCUUCUGUUUUCUUCACUUGAUUUUGGUUUUGGAUUCAAAAAUCCAUGGUGUUUGUUUGAGGUCUGGAAGUCUGCUGAUUUUGGUUGCCGAUUCGACGGUGGCUCGCAAUUCCGUUCGAGUUUUGGUUCGAUUUUGUCGUCGUUGCUGGUCAUCGUAGAUUCCGGUCGCGGUUCCAAUUUAAUUAGGGAUUUCACUAGCUGUUUCUGGUCUUUUGGAACUCACUGUUAAACGUUCCCUCCUCUGCUUGUAUUCACUUCAAGACAUAAUCGAAAUUAACGCGCAUUCAGGUCAAAGCUCGAUCCGGAGUUAUAUCGAACCAAGGCGCGAAGCUAAAUCGUUGAGCUCGUGACUCCGGGACCGAACAAGAUCGAGGGAAUUUUGUCGAGCCAAAUAACGGAAGGCCGAAAUAUCCGCGAUCGGUUGGAGAUCACGGCGAAAAUCUCGGUACGUACCAAGGAGAGGCCAAUUAAUUAUCAAAUCAUGAUAUUUUUUAUCUUUCAUAGAAUUGUAUCAAGAAUAGCGCUCCCCUACUAUAUAAAGGGAGGUUUGAUCAUUUGUAAAACAGAUUAUAAUACGCAUAAAAAGGCAAUACACUGUUA